CUACGGGAGGCUCCAGUGAGGAAUAUUGGUCAAUGGGCGCAAGUCUGAACCAGCCAUGUCGCGUGAAGGAUGACUGCCCUAUGGGUUGUAAACUUCUUUUAUAUGGGAAUAAUAUGAUUACGAGUAAUCAAAUGCAGGUACCAUAUGAAUAAGCACCGGCUAACUCCGUGCCAGCAGCCGCGGUAAUACGGAGGGUGCAAGCGUUAUCCGGAUUUAUUGGGUUUAAAGGGUGUGUAGGCGGACUAAUAAGUCAGUGGUGAAAUCCUGCAGCUUAACUGUAGAACUGCCAUUGAAACUGUUAGUCUUGAGUAUAGACGAGGUAGGCGGAAUGAGUUAUGUAGCGGUGAAAUGCAUAGAUAUAACUCAGAACACCGAUUGCGAAGGCAGCUUACUAGACUAUUACUGACGCUGAUGCACGAAAGCGUGGGUAGCGAACAGGAUUAGAUACCCCCGUAGUC
rnacentral:rRNA from 1 species